CCUACGGGAGGCAGCAGUGAGGAAUAUUGGUCAAUGGCCGGAAGGCUGAACCAGCCAUGCCGCGUGAAGGUCAGUGCCCUAUGGGCGUUAAACUUCUUUUGUGCGGGAGCAAUAAUGGUCACGUGUGGCCAGACGAGAGUACCGUACGAAUAAGCAUCGGCUAACUCCGUGCCAGCAGCCGCGGUAAUACGGGGGAUGCAAGCGUUAUCCGGAUUUACUGGGUGUAAAGGGAGCGUAGGCGGUUUAGCAAGUCAGAAGUGAAAGCCCGGGGCUCAACUCCGGGACUGCUUUUGAAACUGUUGAACUAGAUUGCAGGAGAGGUAAGUGGAAUUCCUAGUGUAGCGGUGAAAUGCGUAGAUAUUAGGAGGAACACCAGUGGCGAAGGCGGCUUACUGGACUGUAAAUGACGCUGAGGCUCGAAAGCGUGGGGAGCAAACAGGAUUAGAUACCCCAGUAGUC
rnacentral:rRNA from 1 species